UACGUAGGGGGCGAGCGUUGUCCGGAAUCAUUGGGCGUAAAGCGCGUGUAGGCGGCUUGUCGCGUCGGCUGUGAAAUCCCGUGGCUCAACUGUGGGCGGGCAGCUGAUACGGGCAGGCUGGAGUUCGGUAGGGGAGACUGGAAUUCCUGGUGUAGCGGUGAAAUGCGCAGAUAUCAGGAGGAACACCGACGGCGAAGGCAGCACUCUGGGCCGGUACUGACGCUGAGGAGCGAAAGCAUGGGGAGCGAACAGG
rnacentral:rRNA from 1 species